AAAUGACUCUCGACAACGGAUAUCCCGGCUCUCGCAUCGAUGAAGAACGUAGCGAAAUGCGAUACUUGGUGUGAAUUGCAGAAUCCCGUGAACCAUCGAGUCUUUGAACGCAAGUUGCGCCCGAAGCCACAAGGCCGAGGGCACGUCUGCCUGGGUGUCACGC
rnacentral:rRNA from 1 species